UACAGAGGGUGCGAGCGUUAAUCGGAAUUACUGGGCGUAAAGCGUGCGUAGACGGUUUCGUAAGUCGGGUGUGAAAUCCCCGGGCUCAACCUGGGAACUGCAUUUGUGACUGCACGGCUCGAGUGCGGCAGAGGGGGGUGGAAUUCCGCGUGUAGCAGUGAAAUGCGUAGAGAUGCGGAGGAACACCGAUGGCGAAGGCAGCCCCCUGGGCCAACACUGACGCUCAGGCACGAAAGCGUGGGGAGCAAACAGG
rnacentral:rRNA from 1 species